UUCUAGCCCUGAUGGAAGCGACAUCCUUUUAACGCUUCCCAAGCGUUAAAAGAUAAAGCGUACAGCAGGACCAAAA
rfam:Marine metagenome ctg_1101668161155, whole genome shotgun sequence.